rnacentral:rRNA from 1 species
GUGGGGACRRCGCUAAGUCAUCAUUGCCCUUACGACCAGGGCAUCACACGUGCUACAAUGGAGCGUACAGAGGGUCGCGACCCUGCGAAGGUGAGCUAAUCCCAGAAAACGUUUCGUAGUCCGGAUUGCAGUCUGCAACUCGACUGCAUGAAGUCGGAAUCGCAUGUAAUCGCGAAUCAGCAUGUCGCGGUGAAUACGUUCCCGGGCCUU